rnacentral:rRNA from 1 species
GAUGAACGCUAGCUACAGGCUUAACACAUGCAAGUCGAGGGGCAGCAGGGAUUUAGCUUGCUAAAUCCGCUGGCGACCGGCGCACGGGUGCGUAACGCGUAUCCAACUUUCCCGUUACUCAGGGAUAGCCUUCCGAAAGGGAGAUUAAUACCUGAUGGUGUUUGAGAUUCGCAUGCUCUUCAAACUAAAGAUUUAUCGGUAACGGAUAGGGAUGCGUGACAUUAGAUAGUAGGCGGGGUAACGGCCCACCUAGUCUACGAUGUCUAGGGGUUCUGAGAGGAAGGUCCCCCACACUGGAACUGAGACACGGUCCAGACUCCUACGGGAGGCAGCAGUGAGGAAUAUUGGUCAAUGGUCGAGAGACUGAACCAGCCAUGCCGCGUGAAGGUCACGGCCCUAUGGGUCUUAAACUUCUUUGCAAGGGAGCAAUAAGUCCCACGUGUGGGAUGAUGAGAGUACCUUGCGAAUAAGCAUCGGCUAACUCCGUGCCAG